UAUCACAUGACCACUCAAUUUGUUUACAUCGGAUAUGUUCUUUAAUGUAAAUCAUCACACCCCCUCCUCUUCCUUCAAUCCUGUCUCUCCUGAAAACAUUGUAGCCAGGCACAAUCAAAGCAGCACAUGGAGUGUCCAUGGAGCCAUGUCUCUGAGAGGCAGAGAAAGUCAAGGUUGGAGUCUGCCAGGAACAGUGAACCUACCCCAUCUGAAGCAGACAACUCUCAGACAGGGAUAGAGCUCCUAGUUGUGUUUAAUGGAGGACACCUCCAUACUGCUGGUGGACAUCAGCCCCAGAGCUCUGAAAGACUCAGAACACCUGCCAAGGUGAUCUCACCUGUGUGUACAUGGAUAGCCCCUCCGCUUCCUCUCGGGGUAGGAGGAGCCCCAGUCCUGCCAAUGACCCUGCCUCUCCACCAACCGCCUGUCAACAAGGUGUUGAGAAUGGCAACUUGGGAAGCCUUUUUACAGCUGUAGAUGAUGAGGACGAGUGUUCUUCCACCAAUCGUCUACAGAGGCUGCUUGCUGAGUCUCAUCAGAUGGUGGCUAGCUCAGAAUGUACAACCCUAAAACCUCUAAGCCCCUUCCACAGCCUAGCUUCUAACGCUGUGACGCUGUCAUUAGCCUCAGCAUCAGCCACGAUAGUGGAAACAAUAACCAUGGAAACCUCAGUUGGAACCGUGACAGCUAAAGUCAAAGCAAUCCCAAUCACUACCUCAACCAGAGCUCCACCCACACCCAACUUUUUUGAUUGGCUCCUAUUGUAUGUGCUUUUUUUACAGAACCCGGGACAUGGCAAUGGGCAGUGAAUGAAUUAAACUCCUUUUUUAGAAAACCAAA